UUUUUUUUAUUCUUUUUAAUUCAGAGCCUUAAGAAUGUUUUAUAAUGAAACAAACACAAGAGCUCGACCUUUUACUUGGGUUUCUAUUAAGUGUGCUCAACAGCCGGGCAGUACAGAAUGUGGGUACUACGUGAUGAAGUUCAUGCAAGACAUAUUGAUGAGACAAGCACCUUAUACUCAAUCUGAAUUGGAUAUGGUGAGAGUGGAAUACUGUGACUUUCUAGAACGCUACAUAUGAUACAUGUUUUUAUUGCAAUGAACGGGUAGUUUUUAUAUUUAUAGUUUAGGUAUAUCUUGAUACGAUGUCAAUU